rnacentral:rRNA from 1 species
AUUGAACGCUGGCGGCAGGCCUAACACAUGCCAGUCGAGCGAGCGGCGGGCGGGUGAGUAAUGUCUGGGAAACUGCCUGAUGGAGGGGGAUAACUACUGGAAACGGUAGCUAAUACCGCAUCCCAUCAGAGGUGCCCAGAUGGGAUUAGCUGGUAGGUGGGGUAACGGCUCACCUAGGCGACGAUCCCCAUCUGGUCUGAGAGGAGGACCAGCCACACUGGAACUGAGACACGGGCCAGACUCCUACGGGAGGCAGCAGUGGUGAAUAGUGCACAAUGGGCGCAAGCCUGAUGCAGCCAGGCCGCGUGUGUGAAGAAGGCCUUCGGGUUGUAAAGCACUUUCAGCGGGGAGGCGUUACCCGCAGAAGAAGCACCGGCUAACUCCGUGCCAGCCGCCGCGGUAAUAC